rnacentral:rRNA from 1 species
CCCUUAGAUGUUCUGGGCUGCACGCGUGCUACACUGAUAUUGCCAAUAUGUCAUUCUUAUCCGAAAUGGAUUGGGUAAUCAAGUAAUGAAAUUUCAUGCUUGGAAUCGGUAAUUGCAAUUUUAUCGUGAACGAGGAAUUCCUAGUAAGCACUAGUCAUCAGCUAAUGUUGAUUAUGUCCCUGCCCCUUGUACACACCGCCCGUCGCUACUACUGAUUGGGUGUUCAAGUGAGAUGCUUAGACCCUUGUUGCAUGGUUCAUUAUUGUGCUCCGAAAGGAAAAAGUUUCAAGCUUGAGUGUCUAGAGGAAGUAAAAGUCGUAACA